rnacentral:rRNA from 1 species
UACAGAGGUCUCAAGCGUUGUUCGGAUUCAUUGGGCGUAAAGGGUGCGUAGGUGGCGCGCUAAGUCAGGUGUGAAAUUUCGGAGCUUAACUCCGAAACUGCAUUUGAUACUGGCGUGCUUGAGGACUGGAGAGGAGACUGGAAUUCAUGGUGUAGCAGUGAAAUGCGUAGAGAUCAUGAGGAAGACCAGUGGCGAAGGCGGGUCUCUGGACAGUUCCUGAACACUGAGGCACGGAAGGCCCAGGGGGAGCAAAACGGG